UAGGGAAUCUUCCGCAAUGGGCGAAAGCCUGACGGAGCAACGCCGCGUGAGUGAUGAAGGUCUUCGGAUCGUAAAACUCUGUUAUUAGGGAAGAACAAAUGUGUAAGUAACUAUGCACGUCUUGACGGUACCUAAUCAGAAAGCCACGGCUAACUACGUGCCAGCAGCCGCGGUAAUACGUAGGUGGCAAGCGUUAUCCGGAAUUAUUGGGCGUAAAGCGCGCGUAGGCGGUUUUUUAAGUCUGAUGUGAAAGCCCACGGCUCAACCGUGGAGGGUCAUUGGAAAACUGGAAAACUUGAGUGCAGAAGAGGAAAGUGGAAUUCCAUGUGUAGCGGUGAAAUGCGCAGAGAUAUGGAGGAACACCAGUGGCGAAGGCGACUUUCUGGUCUGUAACUGACGCUGAUGUGCGAAAGCGUGGGGAUCAAACAGG
rnacentral:rRNA from 1 species